GAGAGAAGCACUGGACUGAGGGUCAGAAGGCCUGAGUGUCUCUGCUGCAGAUGGGCUCUCUGUCCCUGAGCCAAGCUUUGUCCUCCCUGG
ensembl:miRNA MIR422A microRNA 422a